rnacentral:rRNA from 1 species
UACGUAGGGGGCAAGCGUUGUCCGGAAUCAUUGGGCGUAAAGAGCGUGUAGGCGGUCCGAUAAGUCUGCUCUGAAAGCCCGGGGCUCAACCCCGGGAGGCGGGCGGAUACUGUCGGGCUAGAGUCCGGAAGAGGCAAGUGGAAUUCCUGGUGUAGCGGUGAAAUGCGCAGAUAUCAGGAGGAACACCGGUGGCGAAGGCGGGUCUCUGGGCCGUAACUGACGCUGAGGAGCGAAAGCGUGGGGAGCAAACAGG